UACGUAGGGUGCAAGCGUUGUCCGGAAUUAUUGGGCGUAAAGAGCUCGUAGGCGGUUCGUCACGUCGGCUGUGAAAUCCCGAGGCUCAACCUCGGGUCUGCAGUCGAUACGGGCGGACUGGAGUACUGCAGGGGAGACUGGAAUUCCUGGUGUAGCGGUGAAAUGCGCAGAUAUCAGGAGGAACACCGGUGGCGAAGGCGGGUCUCUGGACAGUUCCUGACGCUGAGGCACGAAGGUCAGGGGAGCAAACGGG
rnacentral:rRNA from 1 species